ensembl:lncRNA
CUCAGAGCAUGCAGGUAGGCAGUGUGAAGGCAAAGCUUCUGAAGUUGUAAAAGCAAGCAAAUCAGAAAUGGGCUGCUCUUAAUUUGACUGACGUAGCUGGCAAGCUCUACAGGCUACACUGUCAUGGUGCAGUCAGGACACAACACAGGAUCAUAUGGUGACAGGUGUCCCAGCAGGGUCAGAGAGCCAGGGAAGACCAGUCUACGGAGCUCGGGUUCAGAUGGUGACAGGGGUCUCAGCAGGACCAGGGAAGGCCAGUCUGUGACGACGCUGAGCGUCAGGGACUGGGAGACUAGUCAGGAUCGAGGCACAGAUGAACAGAGCAAUAUACAGAGAGAUCCUUGAUGAAAACCUGUUCCAGAGCGCUCAGGACCUCAGAAGGGGGCUAAUGUUCACCUUCCAACAGGACACGGCCCUAAGCACACAGCCAAGACAACGCAGGAGUUGCUUUGGGACAAGUCUCUAUGUCCUUGAGUGGUCCAGCCAGAGUCCUGACUUGAACCCGAUCAGACAUCUCUGGAGAGACCUGAAAAUAGCUGUGCAGCAACGCUCCCCAUCCAAACUGACAGAGCUUUAGAGGAUCUGCAAAGAAUGGGAGAAUCUCCUCAAAUACAGGUGUGUAGCAACAUGCCUAAGAAGACUGUCAUAUAGAGUAGGCCAGAAGGCUAAACUGGAAAACCUAACCUCUAUCAAAAUAAAGAUGGCAAAGCCGCAGAAG